rnacentral:rRNA from 1 species
GCGAACUUGGCAGAGAUGCCUUGGUGCCUUCGGGAACGCUGAGACAGGUGCUGCAUGGCUGUCGUCAGCUCGUGUUGUGAAAUGUUGGGUUAAGUCCCGNAACGAGCGCAACCCAUAUCCUUUGUGCCAGCGAUUCGGUCGGGAACUCAAAGGAGACUGCCGGUGAUAAACCGGAGGAAGGUGGGGACGACGUCGAGUCAUCAUGGCCCUUACGAGUAGGGCUACACACGUGCUACAAUGGCGCAUACAAAGAGAAGCGACCUCGCGAGAGCAAGCGGAACCUCAUAAAGUGCGUCGUAGUCCGGAUCGGAGUCUGCAACUCGACUCCGUGAAGUCGGAAUCGCUAGUAAUCGUGGAUCAGAAUGCCACGGUGAAUACGUUCCCGGGCCUUGUACACACCGCCCGUCACACCAUGGGAGUGGGUUGCAAAAGAAGUAGGUAGCUUAACCUUCGGGAGGGCGCUUACCACUUUGUGAUUCAUGACUGGGGUGAAGUCGUAACAAGGUAAGCGUAGCGAG